GAAAGUUUACAGGAAAGUCGCUCUGUGUGUCGACCCUGAUAAAUUACAGCAACGGGGUGCAACCAUUCAGCAAAAGUAUUUAUGCAAAAAGGUCAUUGAUCUUCUAAAGGAAGCUUGAAACAAGUUCAACUAAGAAGAGCGGUACGCAGUAGCCAAGACAUCAAGUCGGCUAUAGUGUUGCUGCAACUGUUGUAAUUUAUACCAUUUCUAAGUCAGGGUUUGUUCCCCCUUGCCAAUCUUUUACAACUCUUUACACUUUAGCUUUGUGAAUGUAAGCUCCAAGAAAUUUGAAUUUUAAACAUAUUUCAGCUCCUACUAUAUAAAGAGGUAGUAACUCUA